GCCUCCGCUGAAGGUCAAUCACUUGCUGACGAGUAUUCCAGAAGUGCUCAAUACCUUGCGUAUUUUGGUGGAAAUGUUGGGUUACGGUAUGCUGAGAGUUGUCCUCGUGGUGGGAUCUGCUACUUAAACAGCAGCAUGGUAAGUUGGUUGACAAAGAAAAUCGGCCAAAGGAGGGUCUUGUCACUAUAGGUGUAACUUCAGGUGCUUCUACCCAAGAUAAGAAAAGAUGCUAUGAGGCUGGUAAUUUAUGGAUGGAUUGGUCGAUUACAUCAUGUCAUGGUGCCUAGCUGCAGCAAAAGAAUCGAGGUACCUCUUAGAGGCUAGUCGAAACUUGGAAAAGUCCUGAAGUGUGCCAACAUACACAGUCCCACUAUUUUCUUGUUGCUCUAAUCCUUAAAGCCAGGACUAAGCGUAGUACUGUGAGCAUAUUUGGAGUAACAACCGGAAACAAUAGCUUCAUAACAAUAUUUCUCAUGUUCCAGAAUGGAAUUUCAUUGUAUUUUUUUCAAACUUAGUUUAUGUUGUUGUAAGGAUUAGUGAUUAUCUGAUCAGAUUGGGUCUUUUAGUUGAUUUACAAUGGUAUAUGAAGGUGCAGAAAUCUACU